UACGUAGGGUGCAAGCGUUAAUCGGAAUUACUGGGCGUAAAGCGUGCGCAGGCGGUUAUGCGAGACAGAUGUGAAAUCCCCGGGCUCAACCUGGGAACUGCAUUUGUGACUGCAUAGCUAGAGUGCGGCAGAGGGAGAUGGAAUUCCGCGUGUAGCAGUGAAAUGCGUAGAUAUGCGGAGGAACACCGAUGGCGAAGGCAAUCUCCUGGGCCUGCACUGACGCUCAUGCACGAAAGCGUGGGGAGCAAACAGG
rnacentral:rRNA from 1 species